UACGUAGGGAGCAAGCGUUGUCCGGAAUUACUGGGCGUAAAGGGUGCGUAGGCGGCGCAGUUAGUCAGAAGUGAAAUAUCGGGGCUUAACUCCGGGACUGCUUCUGAUACUGCUGUGCUCGAGUGCAGGAGAGGUAAGUGGAAUUCCUAGUGUAGCGGUGAAAUGCGUAGAUAUUAGGAGGAACACCAGUGGCGAAGGCGACUUACUGGACUGUAACUGACGCUGAGGCACGAAAGCGUGGGUAGCAA
rnacentral:rRNA from 1 species